CUGGUCGGAGAGAAAAGCAGACGCAGCAGAUCAAGAAGGGUUUGAAAGACACUGUUCUCUCCAUGAUUAAAGAACCCCCUGCUCUCAUGGAACAGCUUUUCCCAAGAACUGUUUCUCAAGUAAUUGAGACAGUGAGUCCAGCAAAAAUCCAGCAUGCUGUGCAGAAGGGGGUUCAAGACUGAAGUUGGGGAAACGAUGAUCCUGGACAAAACAGUUUGGCCAACACUUGACAGUGAUGAGGACAUGGACAACCAGCUUGUGUGACAUGGAGCAAAUUCAGGGUGAGGGUCAGAACAGUCCAGGUUCAUAUAGCCAACACGAAAAUAUCAGGGGGCAAACAUGACAAAAGAACACAGGCUAAACACAGAGAACAAAUAGCAAAUGAUACAUCCAACAAACACACAAAUUAUACAUACAAACAGCACAAUAAAGCAAGCAUACAAACAAUCAACGAAAACAAGGGGCAAACACAGGGCUUAAAUAUCAUAGGGCUAACAAGGGAUAACAGGACACAGGUUGAAACACAAGUGGGAACAAUCAGGAGUGGAGUUACAAAACAAGGGGCCGGACUGGGGAUCAAAACAAAGAAAGCAUGUGGACUAGACUAAAACACAACAAGAACAUAUGGACAGGACUGGGAGGGGCCAAUUGUGACAGCUUGAAGGUUCAUGCAAAGGGACAGGCUUCUUGUGCCAGUACAUUGGACAUGUUAGGUGUUCUGGAUUAACUGAAACAAUUUUGAAGUUAUAAUUUUUGAGCUGAAAUGUGAACUUGGUUUCUUAAGCAACACAUGCUUCUGCUUCUGUGCAUAUGAUUUACAUUCUCAGACCAUUUGACUAAUUCUAUAUGCAGUUUCAAUGUUGAGUUAAAUGCAGUACAGAGGUUUAAGGAUUUGUUAUUCAAGGGUGGCUGUUUCUGAACAUUCAUUGCUGUUAAAAUUGUUCUUAAAGUUUCUGUUCAACCCCAGUGGUGGUGAUGUUCUCUUCCCCCAAAAAGCUAAAUUUGUCCAGGAAUGUUUUAUAAAGACAAUUUAUUGUUUAACUGCAUUCUUUUAUUCAGUGAUACAUUCUGGUUUAACAAUAAAUAAAUACAAAAAAAAAUGUGUUACAAAAAAAAUAAUUAAAUAUUACAAUUAUCAUGGACAAUGACAUAGAACAGGGAAAUAAUACAAAAUACAAAAGCGAAAGGCACAAAGUUUUGAGUUGAUUGGUUUUAUGUUCUUUUCCAUGUACGAAAACAGCUGAAAACUGUCUGUAAUAACCUUCACGUUGACUCAGUUACCUGUAAGGUUAAAAAAGUACAUUUCAUAAAUGUAGCUAAUUGCAACACAGUAAACGGUCUCAAAAGUCAGUAAGGCCUUAUCCUACCAGUUGAUUAAUUUGGUUAACUGUGUUGCCAUAUGUGGCUACCACAUCCGAAAAGGGAACAUGGGGAUCCACUUCCACUUCCUGUGCUGUGAGGUCAUGUGGUAGCUGGACCUCAGGAACUGAAAUUUCACUUCACUACAUCUUGUUGGGCCAUCCCAGACAGUUCUACAAUUUUCAUCCAUCCAUCUAUAAUUUUCAUGGAUUUAUGCAGUUUGGUGAUAUUCCUGCUUAAGCUUUUAUUUAUUUUUUUUUGAUCAAUUAUUUAUUUAUUUUCAUUAUUUUCCACCUAUAAGCAAUAACAUACAUUACAGUAUAAAAUCAAGAAUGGGGGUGAUUGUGUACACCUCCCACGAACUCCCACCCCGCCUCCCCAAGGCACCCUUCUCCAGUAGCCAGUUAAAUCAAAAACAAUGUUACAUUGAAAACAGUAAUCAGAGAUACAAUUAGACAAGUUCAAAGCAGUGUUGUAAACAUGUCAGCAGCAUCCUCCCAAGCCUUAUCCUUUAUGUCUUUUCCUUAGCGCUAUGAAUGUGGGCAGUUGAAAGUUCCAGGUUGACAACGUCAAUACAGGAAAGAAUCCAUUUUCUCCGGUUCAGGGAAUGUGGGGGUUGCCUUAAGCUUUUAUUUGAGUACUGCCGACGCCUCACCAUAGGUGCUGAAAGGGCCCCUAUUCGUGACCCUUCAGGAUCCACUCUUUGAAGAGAACAUUGCACUCUUGACGGUUAAACACAACAAUAAAAGAACUAACUAGGUGCACAUGCUCUUAAUUAGUUAGGUUAGUUUGUAAUGAACAUUAUAACAAAUUAUUCAAAAGUCAUGAUGCACUACUAUGGAAGUUUAACAUACACAAUAUACAUGUGUGUUUUACAUUACAAAUGCAACGUAUGUGCAGUCAAAUAUGAGCACAUUUUACAUUUUGGCAGUUUCUUAUACUUACUUUGGACUCAAAGCCUUAUUGCCUGAAGAUGGCCAUGAAUUAUUCUGUUUCCAGAGUUAGGAUACAACCUCUGGAUUUCUUCCACAGUGCGGUCAAGAUCUGCAUCAGUGAUUUCUGAGUACAAUUCAGACACUUUGAAGAUAAAAUCAAAUGUGGAAACACCAUUGGAAACAGCUUUUAUCCUGAAAGGAGCUAAUAUGUCCAGAAGACAGCUCACAAACAUUUAACGUAAUUGCUCGAUUUUCAGAAGAUGGACUAACUGCAUUGCUGCUAGCUGUGUAACUAUGUUGACUAGCAAUUUGGCGUGCAACUGCAAAUAUGACUGUGAAUAUGUGUCGUUUUAUUAGUUUUAGGUUAAGUUAGUAGCAUAUUAACCAAAGUGUACUUUUCCUUACCUUAGUCCAACCUCUUCCAUUCUUCGCCUUAGGGUCCUCUCGGAAACUCAGAAGAGCUCCGCAAUUUUCUGGGCCAUCAUUCCAUAGAGCAGAUACGUCUUCAUUGCAUCUACUGCAAUGUCCAACCUAGGUUGACCUCGCACAGGGCGGGUCGCCUUUGUCACUGACCCCGAGCUUAAGCGGCCUACCACUUCACAUAAAUUCUGACAUACAACUCUAUCCACCUCCGCGUUGGUGAAAGCUUCAAUAUCACCAAUUCUGUCUAAUAUAACUUCACAUCUGAGGAAUAAUCUUCAUCCUGACAAUUCGCCAAACUCAAUAACUCAUUUACCGUUCAAACAAUCUGUCCACCAUGUUGCUAUGAGCUGCCUUUGCUGGAUUUUGCGGGCAGUUCUGUAGUUUUAGGUCCGCCCAGUGUUAAUUAACAUUUGCAUGUUGGUCAGUUUGAAAACAGAAACAAAAACGUGGAAAAUGUAAAGUAAAUCUCCAGCAGGUGGUGUCGAUGUUCGUUUCCAUUUGCCUUUUUAUUCUGAUAUUUAAAGCACGUCCACACCAAAAACUGAAACUGUCGCUUUGCUGUUGAUUUAUCUAUUUUGCAUUUUCAUUUUAAUUUUGUCAGAUAUGCAGCCAAUUACUAUGAAAAAGAAAAAAGAAUGUAAACAUUGCAUUUAGAUUUUUGAGACAAAGCCAAAGCGAAGUUUGGAUUUUCUUUUCUCUAUUAGCUUUUU